GGGCAAUGUGUCGUGCGCUGUUCCAAACACCUUAAAAUAAUGCAUUUAAACCUCAUAGCCCAGGUGCUAUUAAACCCACUUGACAGAUGUAAAUUGUCGUACAGGGUAAACGGAGGCCUCGGAAGGAUAAGUGGCAGGAUUUGAACUAACACCGUCUGGCUCCAGAGUCAUUGCGACUAUCAGUGAUGCUGCCCGUGAAGACAACAAAGAGCAUGGAGUAGUUGGGGACGCACCUGUUGUUCAGAGAGGCGGCUCCCCAAAUGCACGUUGUCAGUGGGCCAACCGGCCAAGUGAGGUCGUCUUGUGUUCCAGCAGAGACCCUCGUAUCCUACCACGAGGCUCUGUGUCUGAUGGCCAAUGAGAAGGUGAUGGUGAUGGAUUGUGGCCCCUGCCCCAGCCCCACUAGGAGGGUACACAGGGAACGGCCAAGAACGAGAGGAGGCUCGUGCUCUCCAGGGGUUUGCAGGCCGGGGAAGCGGCUCUCCAGCUGACGGUAACUCAUACAUCACAGCAUAUGUGUUACAGACACCACAAUGAGCACAGAAUGGGGACCUGGGGGAGUACUCUGGAGGACUUCCUGGAAGAAGCUACAUAUCUGAGAGAUCAGGGACAGAGCGUCGACUCCCUCCUCCUUUCGAGACCAGAUUCAGAGCCCCUGAACUCAGGCCUCUUCCUGCCUCCGCUCUUGGCAUCGGAGCCCUGCAGUUGUUCACCAGGAGUUGACGCUGCCCAGCCCAGGCACAGACAUCAGAGUUCAAGCCCUGGCUUUGCUGCCUCCAAACCCAUGUGACCUCUGAGCCUCAACUUCCUCAUCUGUAAAAUGGGGAGAGUAAUACUGGUUCCUCCCUCACAUGAGCGUUCGCUGCAGUGAAGGACACAGCCCACCGCCCGGCCUAUAAUAAACACUUAGUAGUAACGUUCA
rnacentral:lncRNA from 1 species